CUCAGUCUGCGAGGGGUCGGCGGAGCGGGAGGAGGCGGAGCCGCCGGCGGGAAGCGCCUCUCGAAGAAUCUCCACUGUGUACUUCGCUUUGCUUUUUUUUUUUUUUUUUUUGUGUUUGUUUGUUUGUUUUUUAACUUAAAACUUUUAACUUUUUGUACCUUUUAAAAUCUGAACUUUUCUGCUUAUUAACCUGAAGAUCCCUGACUCAUUUUCCCUCACGAUUUGCCCCCGCCACGCUCCCCUUCAGCUCAGAUUGAAUCUAAUUUGUUGUAUUUUAAUGCGAAUUCUGCGGCCGAUUUGGGGCGUUUUUCGUUAAUUUGCAACUUUCGGCAGAACCUUUGAACUCUUCUACCUUUGUUGGAAUCGUUUUUCCCCUCAGGAACGAGCCGCGUGCAGGAGACGGCGCCCGAGGAUCUCGGAGCGAUAAAAAGGACAGUUUUAAACCUUUAAUUUGCAUUUUUUUAAUCAGGUUUCCGCUUCAAAGAACUGUUUUCACAUAUUCAAUUAUUAGUUCGAUUUUUUAAAUGAGUUUUUUACCAAAUUUGAGGGGGUUUUGCCUCAGGGUUCCACCCUCAGGAUUUGCCCCCCCCCGCCCACGUGUUCUUCCUCCCCUUUAAAGUUACCUGAACAUAAAAUACAUUAAAAUAAAAAACUAUAAAACCUU